ensembl:misc_RNA
CAGGACAGGUACAGCACAGGCAGCGACAGUACGAGCUUUCUUCACACCACCCUGCCCAUGUUCCUCAACCCUGACCUAGAGGGACCACCUCUAGA